rnacentral:rRNA from 1 species
CAGCUUGCUGUUUCGCUGACGAGUGGCGGACGGGUGAGUAAUGUCUGGGAAACUGCCUGAUGGAGGGGGAUAACUACUGGAAACGGUAGCUAAUACCGCAUAACGUCGCAAGACCAAAGAGGGGGACCUUCGGGCCUCUUGCCAUCGGAUGUGCCCAGAUGGGAUUAGCUAGUAGGUGGGGUAACGGCUCACCUAGGCGACGAUCCCUAGCUGGUCUGAGAGGAUGACCAGCCACACUGGAACUGAGACACGGUCCAGACUCCUACGGGAGGCAGCAGUGGGGAAUAUUGCACAAUGGGCGCAAGCCUGAUGCAGCCAUGCCGCGUGUAUGAAGAAGGCCUUCGGGUUGUAAAGUACUUUCAGCGGGGAG